UACGGAGGGUGCGAGCGUUGUCCGGAAUCACUGGGCGUAAAGGGCGCGUAGGUGGCCUGUGGAAGUCUGCGGUGAAAGCCCGGCGCUCAACGCCGGGUCUGCCGUGGAUACUCUCGGGCUUGAGCUUCUAAGAGGCAGAUGGAAUUCCGGGUGGUAGCGGUGGAAUGCGUAGAUAUCUGGAGGAAUACCGGUGGCGAAGG
rnacentral:rRNA from 1 species